rnacentral:rRNA from 1 species
AUUGAACGCUGGCGGCAGGCCUAACACAUGCAAGUCGAGCGAGCGGCGGACGGGUGCGUAAUGUCUGGGAAACUGCCUGCUGGAGGGGGAUAACUCCUGGAAACGGUAGCUCAUACCGCAUACCAUCAGAUGUGCCCAGAUGGGAUUUGCUAGUAGGUGGGGUAACGGCUCACCUAGGCGACUAUCCCUAGCUGUUCUGAGAGGAUUACCAGCCACACUGGAACUGAGACACGGUCCAGACUCCUACGGGAGGCAGCAGUGGGGAAUAUUGCAAAAUGGGAGCAAGCCUGAUGCAGCCAUGCCGAGUGUGUGAAGAAGGCCUUCGGGUUGUAAAGCACUUUCAGAGGGGAGGCGUUACCCGCAGAAGAAGCACCGGCUAACCCCGUGCCAGCAGCCGCGGUAAUAC